rnacentral:tRNA from 1 species
GGCUUUAUAAUCUAAAUUUAGGAUAUUAGAUUGCAAAUCUAAAAGUGUAAGUUACUAAAGCUU